CGAAGCUUUGAGAUGAAGCCCCAGUAAACGGCGGCCGUAACUAUAACGGUCCUAAGGUAGCGAAAUUCCUUGUCGGGUAAGUUCCGACCUGCACGAAUGGUGUAACGAUCUGUGCGCUGUCUCGACGGUAAGCCCGGUGAAAUUGUGGUCCUGGUAAAGACGCCAGGUACCUGUGGUGGGACGGAAAGACCCCAUGGAGCUUUACUGUAACUUGGUAUUGGAUUUUGUCAUGUAAUGCACAGGAUAGGUGGGAGGCAUAGAGUCCGAGACUUUGGUAUCGGAGGAGCCGACGUUGGGAUACCACCCUUUAUAUGAUGGAAUUCUAACCGCGAUUGUUGAAACACAAAGCGGGACAUUGCCAGGCGGGCAGUUUGACUGGGGCGGUCGCCUCCCAAAGAGUAACGGAGGCGCGCAAAGGUCACCUCGGCGCGAAUGGAAAUCGCGCGAAGAGAGCGUAAGCGUAUAAGGUGGCUUGACUGUGAGACGGACGAGUCGAACAGGAACGAAAGUUGGUGCUAGUGAUCCGGUGGUGCCGAAUGGAAGGGCCAUCGCUCAACGGAUAAAAGCUACCCUGGGGAUAACAGGCUGAUCUCGCCCGAGAGUUCCUAUCGACGGCGUGGUUUGGCACCUCGAUGUCGGCUCAUCGCAUCCUGGGGCUGAAGCAGGUCCCAAGGGUUGGUCUGUUCGCCCAUUAAAGCGGUACGUGAGCUGGGUUUAGAACGUCGUGAGACAGUUCGGUCCCUAUCCACCAUGGGCGUAAGGUAUUUGAGGAGAGCUGUUCCUAGUACGAGAGGACCGGAAUGGACGAACCGCUGGUGAACCGGUUGUGGCGCCAGCCGCAUAAGCCGGGUAGCUAUGUUCGGAAAGGAUAACCGCUGAAAGCAUCUAAGUGGGAAGCCAACUUCAAGAUGAGAUACCUUAUUCCGUAAAGGAAGUAAGAUGUCCGGCAGACGACCGGAUAGAUAGGCCGGGGGUGUAAGCGUUGAGAGGCGUUGAGCUGACCGGUACUAAUACAUCGAGGCUUUUUUCUC
rnacentral:rRNA from 1 species